GUACAGUGUAACUAAAACAUUAGAACAAAUCAUGAACCUAUGUAACGUGCCCUUCUGCUCCCAGUAAGGGUGACUACCAUCACACAUGUCAAAGUCUAAAAUCACUCCACAUUGAAAUUGUAUUUUACUCAUGGUAUUUUGUGACUUCCAACUGCCAAAAUAAAUAUAGACAUAUGAUGUACUCUGUACAUCAGGGCAAAUCAAUUAGUUUAUUCUGAAU